CACUUUGGCUGGAUACUUUUUGCCGUCCGCCCACGUAGCGAGUAUCCGCUCGCCCACCGAGAACUCCCGCAUCCUCGCCUCCCUGCAGAUUUUUGCUUGCGUAACAUAAAGGGAUCACACUCGACGUACAGAACGAAAAGUGAACGUUUUAUUUGUGUAUUAUCCAUUGUUCGUGAUAUCUGGACAAUGGACCGAUUAUCUGCCGUCACCCUUGCAAAAGUAAUCAAUAUGGGGGAUCUAAGUAGUUUUUAACUCUUGUUAAUUGCAGCACGUAAACGAGUAAAGCAAUAAAACUAUCAUGUCUACUA